rnacentral:rRNA from 1 species
ACCUACGGGGGGCAGCAGUAGGGAAUCUUCGUCAAUGGGCGCAAGCCUGAACGAGCAAUGCCGCGUGAACGAGGAAGGUCUUCGGAUCGUAAAGUUCUGUUGAAGGGGAAAAAGAGCGGAGAGAGGAAAUGGUCUCCGAUUGAUAUUACCCUUCGAGGAAGUCACGGCUAACUACGUGCCAGCAGCCGCGGUAAUACGUAGGUGGCGAGCGUUAUCCGGAAUGAUUGGGCGUAAAGGGUGCGUAGGCGGCCUGCUACGUCUGGAGUGAAAGGUACCGGCUCAACCGGUACAGGCUCUGGAAACUG